rnacentral:rRNA from 1 species
GACGAACGCUGGCGGCGUGCUUAACACAUGCAAGUCGAACGGUAAGGCCCUUCGGGGUACACGAGUGGCGAACGGGUGAGUAACACGUGGGUGAUCUGCCCUGCACUUCGGGAUAAGCCUGGGAAACUGGGUCUAAUACCGGAUAGGACCACGCGCUUCACGGUGUGUGGUGGAAAGCUUUUGCGGUGUGGGAUGGGCCCGCGGCCUAUCAGCUUGUUGGUGGGGCAAUGGCCUACCAAGGCGACGACGGGUAGCCGGCCUGAGAGGGUGACCGGCCACACUGGGACUGAGAUACGGCCCAGACUCCUACGGGAGGCAGCAGUGGGGAAUAUUGCACAAUGGGCGCAAGCCUGAUGCAGCGACGCCGCGUGAGGGAUGACGGCCUUCGGGUUGUAAACCUCUUUCAGUAGGGACGAAGCGCAAGUGACGGUACCUACAGAAGAAGGACCGGCCAACUACGUGCCAGCCGCCGCAGUAA